UUAAAGAGCCGCGGUAUUUUGACCGUGCGAAGGUAGCAUAAUAAUUAGUCUCCUAAUUAGAGGCUUGUAUGAAUGGUCGGACAAGAUGGAAACUGUCUCAGUACAAUAAAUAAAAUUUAAUAUUUAAGUAAAAAAGCUUAAAUAAUAUGGAGGGACGAUAAGACCCUAUAAAGCUUUAUGUUAUUCUUCUUUUUUAUAAAUUAUUUAAUUAUUAACUUAUUUCAGAAUUAAUAUCAUUUUACUGGGGCGGUAAAAGUAUAAUAAAGAUUAACUGCUUUUGUUUUGUCUAACAAUAAUAGUUGAAAAUAGAUUGAUCCAUUAUUAAUGAUCAUAAGAACAAGUUACUUUAGGGAUAACAGCGUAAUUUUUUUUGAGAGUUCUUAUCGAAAAAAAAGUUUGCGACCUCGAUGUUGAAUUAAGGUUACCUUAAGGUGCAGCAGUUUUA
rnacentral:rRNA from 1 species